rnacentral:lncRNA from 1 species
CCGGAAACGGCCCAAAAGCGGGCCUAAAGCCGCUGGAAACCCAUUUCGUGGGUUGCUGGUCGGGGCUGGCCGGGGUUGCUCCCGCGGCCAAAACGGCGAGGGAAGGCCGGCGGAAGGUGAGGGGGACGCCGAGGAGCUGCGAGGUGGUCGGACGGAGGUAGGCGGUGGCCGGAGGUGGCCGGAUCGAGCUGGGCAGAGACGAAGCAGGGGUUGGACGGCGCACGGUGAGGACGGCGAGCGCGGGCGGCGCGCGGGCGGCGAACGGCGGACGUG